rnacentral:rRNA from 1 species
UACGUAGGGUGCAAGCGUUGUCCGGAAUUAUUGGGCGUAAAGCGUGCGCAGGCGGUUUGCUAAGACAGGUGUGAAAUCCCCGGGCUUAACCUGGGAACUGCGCUUGUAACUGGCAAGCUAGAGUGUGGCAGAGGGGGGUGGAAUUCCACGUGUAGCAGUGAAAUGCGUAGAGAUGUGGAGGAACACCGAUGGCGAAGGCAGCCCCCUGGGCUAACACUGACGCUCAUGCACGAAAGCGUGGGGAGCAAACAGG